rnacentral:lncRNA from 1 species
AAAAAUACAGGUAAUGGUGUUCUUUGCUUAUGAACACUGUUAAUUGGACUUCAUAUAAAGUGAUUUAAUUUUCCCUUUUUGACUUGAAAUAAUGAUCUUCAGUAGGAUUUUUCUGAAGAGAGGAUGUGAAACUGAAUUUCAGAAUGUGUGCCCUUUGGCAAGUCACUUAACUGCUUUGAUCCUCCAUUCCCUUACCAUGAGGGAGUUGAACUGGAUAACUUCAAACCCCUUCCAGGUCUAGAUCUGUGGCAUUGUAAAUUUAAUUAAACCCUUAUUAAAAACCUACUAUGUUCAUGUCAUUGUGUUAGGGCUGACCAUACGAAUACACAAAGGUAACAAUUACUGCCCUCAAAGAGUUUAUGUUCUAUUUGGCCACAAGUAUCUUUCCCACCACUGAAUUCACGCAUAGUUACAUCGGAUAUCCCAGCCAUAUACAAUUUUGUAGUGAAAACGCUAUCAAUACUGUGAUUACCUUUUAUAAUUUUUUUCUCCUUCCUAUCUUCUGAGCAGCCACUGUACUUGAGAGGACUAUUCCAAAAUCAAGAAAUGGAACACUCUGAGCAAAGGAAUAAGAAUUAAGUCAAGCCAGCAAGCAUUUAUUAUGGCCUUUCUAUGUGCCAGUCAUGUUGCUAAGCGCUGGCAAUACAAAUACUAGCAGAAAAACAGACCUGCCCUCAAGGAGCUUACAUUCUAAUGGGGUAAAAGAGAACAAUAAAAAAAAACUGGAGAGUAAGAAGUUGGGAAAGAGGAAGCUUUAUUCAAUUUUGAGUUUUCUCCAGAAUCAGGUUCCAGGAGUCAGCAAGUUCUCUUAACUGAAAUUUCCCACGCUGGUCUAAGGAUUCAAGAUCCUAUAAAGGUCCCAGAGAGUUGGCAGCCACAGCCCUGCUCCACCCGCCAUUUUGGAAGAUUCACUCUUCUUGCUUUUUACCUUUUGUCAAAUCUUGCCUACAAUACAAGUAUCUCUUUCACUUAUCUGCCAAUUAGUGGGGGUUGAAGAACUUCCCCCUCCUCUUUGGGGAAACUGCUAAAUCCCAUCUGUUCUGUGAAGUGGUCCAGAGACAAGAAAUGAGUGACCAUCUUUUACAUUGUCCUCAUCCAUUAAACCUUUAAUUUAUUUUUUAAAA